GGCUAAACAAAUGCACGUACACCCACAACCAGGAUGGGUCCACUUAAUCAAAUACCGAAGGUCAAAAACUUGGUGAGGGAAGUGUUUGUUAAUAUAAGAGGUGAGUGUAUGCAUUUUAAAUGUUUCACUAUAGUCAGUGAGAGUAGCGAACUUGUUUUGGUAGUGUGACAUAGAAACAGAGCUUGCACUCUGCUUAGUCUGGUGAGAUUUGACCUUUGACCUGAAUACUUACAAAAAGAGAGAGAAGGAAAGCGGGAGAGGCCAUUGGGACACUGUCCUGUAGGAGGACAAACAGUUAGUGAGAAAAGAAACACACACACACACACAGUGACAUUUACCCCUUGUACACACACACAUCCAGAGUAAACAACACAAACAAGUACAGUCAUACAAACAAGACAACACAUUCAGACAGUCAAGUGAGAACACAGGAGUCAGUCGAAAUGGAGAGAAGAGAGACAGUACGGACAGACAAUACAAAUGGAGAGGGGAGCGACAGUAGAAACGGAGACAGUAGUGACAGUAGUAACGGAGACAGUAGACAGUAGUAACGGAGACAGUAGACAGUAGUAACGGAGACAGUAGACAGUAGUAACGGAGACAGUAGUAAUGGAGACAGGAGCGACAGUAGACAAACGGUAGUAACGGAGACAGUAGUAACGGAGACAGUAGACAGUAGUAACGGAGACAACAAACGGUAGUAACGGAGACAGUAGUAACGGAGACAGUAGACAGUAGUAACGGAGACAGUAGACAGUAGUAACGGAGACAGUAGA
ensembl:lncRNA